AGAGUUUGAUCAUGGCUCAGAUUGAACGCUGGCGGCAGGCCUAACACAUGCAAGUCGAGCGGAAACGACACUAACAAUCCUUCGGGUGCGUUAAUGGACGUCGAGCGGCGGACGGGUGAGUAAUGCCUACGAAAUUGCCUUGAUGUGGGGGAUAACCAUUGGAAACGAUGGCUAAUACCGCAUAAUGCCUACGGGCCAAAGAGGGGGAUCUUCGGACCUCUCGCGUCAAGAUAUGCCUAGGUGGGAUUAGCUAGUUGGUGAGGUAAUGGCUCAACAAGGCGACGAUCCCUAGCUGGUCUGAGAGGAUGAUCAGCCGCACUGGAACUGAGGCACGGUCCAGACUCCUACGGGAGGCAGCAGUGGGGAAUAUUGCACAAUGGGCGAAAGCCUGAUGCAGCCAUGCCGCGUGUAUGAAGAAGGCCUUCGGGUUGUAAAGUACUUUCAGUUGAGAGGAAGGGUGUGUAGUUAAUAACUGCGCAUCUUGACGUUAGCAACAGAAGAAGCACCGGCUAACUCCGUGCCAGCAGCCGCGGUAAU
rnacentral:rRNA from 1 species